UACGUAGGGUGCAGGCGUUAAUCGGAAUUACUGGGCGUAAAGCGUGCGCAGGCGGUUAUGUAAGACAGUUGUGAAAUCCCCGGGCUCAACCCUGGGAAUUGCAUCUGUGACUGCAUAGCUAGAGUACGGUAGAGGGGGAUGGAAUUCCGCGUGUAGCAGUGAAAUGCGUAGAUAUGCGGAGGAACACCGAUGGCGAAGGCAAUCCCCUGGACCUGUACUGACGCUCAUGCACCGAA
rnacentral:rRNA from 1 species